AGGGUGCAGGGCGGAUGCCUUGGCACUAGGAGCCGAUGAAGGACGUGAUAAGCUGCGAUAAGCUUCGGGGAGUUGCACGUAAACUUUGAUCCGAAGAUUUCCGAAUGAGGAAACUCACUUAGAGUAAUGUCUAAGUAUCAUUAAGUGAAUACAUAGCUUAAUGAGGGGAACUCAGGGAACUGAAACAUCUAAGUACCUGAAGGAAGAGAAAGAAAUUCGAUUCCGUAAGUAGCGGCGAGCGAACGCGGAUUAGCCCAAACCAAUAAAGUUUUCUUUAUUGGGGUUGCGGACAUAUCAUAACGAAGAGGUAUCGUAAUUGAAGAGGUUUGGAAAGACCCACCACAGAAGGUAAUAGUCCUGUAUGUUAAACGAGAAGACUUCAGAUAUGAUCCAGAGUACCACGGGACACGUGAAACCCUGUGGGAAGCAGGAGGGACCACCCUCCAAGGCUAAAUACUACCUAGUGACCGAUAGCGUAUAGUACCGUGAGGGAAAGGUGAAAAGAACCCCGGGAGGGGAGUGAAAUAGAACCUGAAACCCUGCACUUACAAGCUGUGGAAGCACAUUUCUUGUGUGACCGCGUACUUUUUGUAGAACGGGCCAACGAGUUACGUUAAGUAGCAAGGUUAAGCACUUAAGGUGCGGAGCCGUAGCGAAAGCGAGUUUUAACUGAGCGUUCAGUUACUUGACGUAGACCCGAAACCGGGCGACCUACCCAUGAGCAGGAUGAAGCGAAAGUAAAAUUUCGUGGAGGUCCGAACCCACGAGCGUUGAAAAGCUCGGGGAUGACUUGUGGAUAGCGGUGAAAUUCCAAUCGAGCCCGGAGAUAGCUGGUUCUCCCCGAAAUAGCUUUAGGGCUAGCCUCAAGGUGAGAGAUACGGAGGUAGAGCACUGAAUGUCCUAGGGGGUAUUGCACCUACCGAAGACUAUCAAACUCCGAAUGCCGUCAUCUUAUACUUGGGAGUCAGACUGUGGGUGAUAAGAUUCAUAGUCGAAAGGGCAACAGCCCAGAUCGUCAGCUAAGGUCCCUAAAUGUAAGUUAAGUGGUAAAGGAUGUGGGAUUGCACAGACAACCAGGAUGUUGGCUUAGAAGCAGCCACUCAUUCAAAGAGUGCGUAAUAGCUCACUGGUCGAGUGAUCCUGCGCCGAAGAUUUCCGGGGCUAAAACUUACUACCGAAGCUACGGCAUCAGUAAUGAUGGGUAGGGGAGCUUCCCAUACGGGUUGAAGCGUGACCGUAAGGACAUGUGGACAGUAUGGGAGUGAGAAUGUUGGCAUGAGUAGCGAGAUGUGGGUGAGAAUCCCACAGGCCGUAAACCCAAGGUUUCCAGGGGAAGGUUCGUCCGCCCUGGGUUAGUCGGGACCUAAGCUGAGGCCGAAAGGCGUAGGUGAUGGACAACAGGUUGAUAUUCCUGUACUACCGAUAACCGUUUGAGAGAAGGGAUGACACAGUAGGAUAAGCUAAGCACACUGUUGGUUAUGUGUGCCCAAGCAUUGAGGCAGUCAAAGUAGGCAAAUCCGCUUUGAUAAUGCUGGGAUGUGAUGGGGAGCGAAAUUUAGUAGCGAAGUAGCUGAUUUCACACUGUCAAGAAAAGUCUCUAUCGAGGUUAAAGGUACCCGUACCGCAAACCGACACAGGUGGGUGAGGAGAGUAUCCUAAGGCCAGCGAGAGAACUGUUGUUAAGGAACUCGGCAAAAUGACCCCGUAACUUAGGGAUAAGGGGUGCCACCAUCAGGUGGCCGCAGAGAAUAGGCCCAAGCGACUGUUUACCAAAAACAUAGGUUUCUGCUAAGUCGCAAGACGAUGUAUAGGAGCUGACGCCUGCCCGGUGCUGGAAGGUUAAGGGGAUCUGUUAGAGCAAUCGAAGCAGUGAACUUAAGCCCCAGUAAACGGCGGCCGUAACUAUAACGGUCCUAAGGUAGCGAAAUUCCUUGUCGGGUAAGUUCCGACCCGCACGAAAGGCGUAACGAUUUGGGCACUGUCUCAACAACAGACUCGGUGAAAUUGUAAUUCCGGUGAAGAUGCCGGAUACCUGCGACAGGACGGAAAGACCCCAUGGAGCUUUACUGUAGCUUGACAUUGGGUCUUGGUACUACAUGUACAGGAUAGGUGGGAGGCUUUGAAACCAGGACGCCAGUUUUGGCGGAGCCAUCCUUGGGAUACCACCCUUGUAGUACUGGGACUCUAACCAUAGGCCAUGAAUCUGGUCUUGGGACACUGUCAGGUGGGCAGUUUGACUGGGGCGGUCGCCUCCCAAAAGGUAACGGAGGCGCUCAAAGGUUCUCUCAGUACGGUCGGAAAUCGUACGUAGAGUGUAAAGGCAAAAGAGAGCUUGAUUGCAAGACAUACAGGUCGAGCAAGGAUGAAAAUCGGACUUAGUGAUCCGGUGGUUCUGCGUGGAAGGGCCAUCGCUCAACGGAUAAAAGCUACCCUGGGGAUAACAGGCUUAUCUCCCCCAAGAGUCCACAUCGACGGGGAGGUUUGGCACCUCGAUGUCGGCUCAUCACAUCCUGGGGCUGUAGUAGGUCCCAAGGGUUGGGCUGUUCGCCCAUUAAAGUGGUACGCGAGCUGGGUUCAGAACGUCGUGAGACAGUUCGGUCCCUAUCCGUCGCAGGCGUAGGAAAUUUGAGAAGACCUGUCCUUAGUACGAGAGGACCGGGAUGGACGUACCUCUGGUGUACCAGUUGUUCUGCCAAGGGCAUGGCUGGGUAGCUAUGUACGGAAUGGAUAAGCGCUGAAAGCAUCUAAGCGCGAAGCCAACUUCAAGAUAAGAUUUCCCACCGCAAGGGUAAGACCCCAGAAAGACUAUCUGGUUGA
rnacentral:rRNA from 1 species